UCUUUCUUUGUAUAUGGAAGAAUUUAACUCUGUGUUCCAUAAUGUCUAAAUACUCAAAUUUAGAGUUGACAGCCAUACAGCAAAUUAUUCAAGUUGCUGUCAAAAAAAAAUCCCUGCGUUUUCUAGGAUUAAAACUGUGAAUAGAGUACUGGAAGAAAAAAAAGUCAUAGACUCAGAUGCAAAAUGACAACAUUUAAUGGGAUGAUAAGGAAAUAAGACUUGUCAAGAAACCAUAGCCCACUGCAGACUGUUCACGAUGUCAGAUGGUUCAUGAUUUUUUUCCAGGUUUGAUACAGAAGAAUCAGUUUGUUAAAAGAAAUGCUUCUCCAUCUGGGAUUUAAAACAUCAUUUAAACAGUAAACACAUUUGUAUGUAUAUAUAAAUAGAUAUUUAGAAAUAAAAACAUGCAUAUAUAGGCACAUAGACAUGUAUAUACAUAUACACACAUAUGUACAAAUAUAUAUGCCUAAAUUUUUACUGACCUGUCAACUUACAAAACAAAAAUGAGAGAUUUAUAAAAGGUACAUAUAUAGCUGUGAAUUCUUUAAAGCUAUUUUUAAAGAAAUUAAUAUAAUCUUAAUGAUUAUCAGAUUACUCAUGCAGUACACAGCUACACAAGUCUAAUGAAGUACCAGAGACUUUUCUUUCUUCAACUAUUGUCCUAUCUUAUUCAGGUUUUCAUUUUCUUACUAGAUGUGUUUUCAAUGGUUUAUGACGUAAUAAAAUUUCUUUACUUC